rnacentral:rRNA from 1 species
GGAAUCUUGGACAAUGGGGGCAACCCUGAUCCAGCGACGCCGCGUGGAGGAUGAAGGUCUUCGGAUUGUAAACUCCUUUUGAAGGGGAUGAAUGGCUACGUGAAGAGCGUAGAGUGACAGUACCCUAUGAAUAAGCCACGGCUAACUUCGUGCCAGCCGCCGCGGUAAUACGAAGGUGGCAAGCGUUACUCGGAAUCACUAGGCGUAAAGCGCAGGUAGGCGGUUGGGAAAGUCUCUUGUGAAAGCUCCUGGCUUAACUGGGAGAGGUCAAGGGAAACUACUCAGCUGGAGUGUGGUAGAGGAAACUGGAAUUCCCGGUGUAGCGGUGAAAUGCGCAGAUAUCGGGAGGAACACCUAUGGCGAAAGCAGGUUUCUGGGCCAUCACUGACGCUGAGCUGCGAAAGCUAGGGGAGCA